rnacentral:rRNA from 1 species
ACGUAGGGGGCGAGCGUUGUCCGGAAUGACUGGGCGUAAAGGGCGCGCAGGCGGGUUUUUAAGUCUGGAGUGAAAGUUUUGCGCUCAACCCGGGAAUGGAUUUGGAAACUGAUAGUCUUGAGUGCAGGAGAGGAAAGUGGAAUUCCUAGUGUAGCGGUGAAAUGCGUAGAUAUUAGGAGGAACACCAGUGGCGAAGGCGACUUUCUGGACUGUAUCUGACACUGAGGCGCGAAAGCCAGGGUAGUGAACGG